rnacentral:hammerhead_ribozyme from 1 species
AUCCAGCUGACGAGUCCGAGAUAAGGCGAAACGCGCGUCCUGGAU